rnacentral:rRNA from 1 species
GCGCACCAGGCGCGAAACCUCCGCAAUGCUCGAAAGAGCGACGGGGGGACUCCAAGUGCCUACGCUCAGCGUAGGCUGUUCCCGAGCCUAAAAAGCUCGGGGAGUAAAGGCUGGGUAAGACGGGUGCCAGCCGCCGCGGUAAUACCCGCAGCCCGAGUGGUGGCCGCUAUUAUUGGGCCUAAAGCGUCCGUAGCCGGCUCGGUAAAUGCCUGGGUAAAUCGUCUGGCCCAACCAGACGAAUUCCGGGUAGACUGCCGGGCUAGGGACCGGAGGAGGGAGAGGGGUACUCCAGGGGUAGGGGUGAAAUCAGCAAGGUGAGUUGCUGAUGUAACUUGCCUUGCAAGUCACAAUCCUGUAAUCCCUGGAGGACCGACCGGUGGCGAAGGCGCUCUCCUAGGACGGUCGACGGUGAGGGACGAAGCCAGGGGAGCAAACCGGAUUAGAUACCCGUGUAGU